AUGUUGUCGUCUUCAAGAUAUCCAGGCUCCUUGCUAAUGUUUCUCAUUCUCCUUGAUAGUUUCACCAGUGCCAGAGUGACAGCCAAGUACCACGGCAUCAAGCUACAAUACAGAGAGCAGAUGCACCAUGUUUAUGACCUGCUGGGACAUCUGAAAUCUAAGCUGAGCUUGUGGAGAGGGCCUUACGGCUCUCAGGAGUCUGUUCAGUCUCUGCUACAAGACUGGCAUGAGACUGUUGACAAGCAAGGUCUGGUGUGGAUGUUGAAGGAAGCGCUUAAUAAGCUGAAGGACACAGCAGUCAGCUAUACCAACAAAGCAGCUCUGUGUAAGUCUAUAUUGUUGGCAAUUCUGUUAUACUUUGGUUUUUUAUGAAAGUUAGUGCUUUUUCCUGUAAUUUUAUCUGAUUUACCCUCUCUCCUUUGUUUGUUUUUUCAGCUGACGACUCACCUGUGGUUAACAGGCAGGUAAAAGAGGCAGAUAGUGAGGCGGGAGUCAGUACAGAAGCUGCAGAAGCAGUAAGAUCCACCAUGGAACGUGUUCUGGCUGCAUGGGAGUCCUACAAAGACUGCCUGUAUCUAUUACAGGUCUGGCUGGGGCAGGAGAAACAAUCAGAGGCUCAAGAGGUACUAUUAAGUAUUUGUCAUUAAAACACAUGCUACAAAGUAUACAGUGACCCAAAAAGUGUUUGAACACCUAAGUAUGAAUGUCAUUUAGUUAUCUUUGUUGUGAUGUUUGGUAAUUUCAAGUCAUGAGGUGAGGGCACGAUGUUUGUAUGUGGUUGCUUUUUUUAGAAGUUAAUUUGUCAGUUGUCUUGUGAUCUCUUUCAUAAUACAGCACAAGCAUUUUUCCUCCAGCCUGAAUGAGUGGAGAUCACGUCAAGCCCAGCUGAACGAGGCAGGAAACUUUCUCAUUGAGAUGAGUGAGGCCUCCACCAGCCACUCUCUGACCGAAGAGCUCCGCAAACUGAACAUGCAGUGGGCUGACUUCAUAAAAAGGACCAAGUUUGUGAGUUUGUAGAGACAGAACACUAGUUUUCAGCAGGGUUCAAAAUUAACACUUACCACCAAUUGCAUUAUAUAUUAUUUGAGUAUGAGAACAAAAUAUGUUUGUACUGGCAACAGAAAAGGUGAUGUAGGUGUUUCUCACAAAAUAAGGAAAAAGCUAAAUAUAUCCCAUUGUUAAAGACCGAAAUAAUGCAAAAUAAAGUUCCAUAACUGGUAAGAAAUAUUUAUGGCUGGUGCAUUUGCUCAAUUCAUUCGCAAGUAGGUGUGGCAAAGAGUUUAUUUUGGAUCCUGGUUUUUUUGUCAAUUUGAACUUGUUCUACUGGAUUGAAUAAAGACUUUUGCCUUUAAACUGCCAAGACCCAGCCUUUUUCGAUUCUCUCUGUAAGUUGCAUAACUUGUUGGUGGAUCUUCGCUACUAUUUUUCACUUUCUUUGAGUAAUACACUGACAAGCUGGUACUGUAGUCCUUUGUGUUUCAAAACCACAGAAGAAUUCUGUUUCAUCAUCUGUGCUUCAUCAAAGCAUGUGAUUGCUCUUAUUCUUUGUGUUUUAACAUUCUACACCCUUGAAAAGAUUGUGAUUGUUGAUUUAAAAAAAAGAUGUUAUUGUUUAACAAUAAAGUGCUUAUUCUGUUGUAAAUGGCAUGUUUUCAGGCAGUGGCCCCUCAGCCCAUCUCUGCAGUCGCAGGUGUCCAGGCUUCCCUGAUGCAGGAAGCCAGCUGGGUGCUUAGAGAGACAGUUGAGGUGUUAUCUGGACCUCUACGUAUUUACAGAAAGAAACUCCAGGUAUACUGAUCUUUCUCUUCUACAGUAGCUGUAGUACUUCAUACUGUUUGUAUUUUUAUACUAAUGUUUCUUCAUUGUUUUAUAUGUCUUUCUUAAUGUUUAUUUUUUUUUUAUUUUUUUACUUUAACCAGCUGUUUCUCAGGGUCAUUUUCUCCUCCACUCUCUUGUCAAGGUUGUUUAUGCUUGUCUUUUUUCUUUUUUUUUACUCAGGGCAUAACUAAGAAGAUGUCUGAGUUCAAGCUGAACUCUUUGUCUCCAUCUCCAGACUGCAAAGAGGAAACUCUUCAGAAAUUCAGACAAACUCUUCCAGAGGUCAGGCAAUAUUUAGGUUAAACGUAUAUUAAUUGUAGAUGUGAGAAACCAAUUUACUUGCUCUAAGUUAUUCCGUGGAACACACAAAUAUCUGUGAUAAAGAAUCUCCACGAGUCAUUGAGUCUGUGAGUGAACAAAUCAGUCUUAUAAAUAUCCAUUUAUUUUAAAUAGGGCUGUCACAAUCAUAUAUUUACUUAACUGAAUUAUUUUACUGAAUUAUGGCUAAAAGAAUUCACAAUAACAAUACUAUUACAACGUCUACAGAAACUUUAUGAAUAAUGUGACAAAAUUAAAUUCUGCCAAAAUUAAAUAAGGCUAUCAGUCAAAUUUAUCUUUAACUUUUAUUUUGUACUUUCACGAAAAAGGUGUGUUGGGAGACAGAGAUAGUAUUUGUAACAAUAACUUUACAAAAGUGUGCAAAAACAACUGUUGAUCAUCACUUCUUGCAGAAUGGGGGUCUUACACCCAAACCAACUUUUUUACAGAAUCAAAAGAACUCUUACACUGGGAAUCUUUAUUCUGGUAGACUGUCUCUCUUUCAUUUUUCAUCUACAAGAUUUUGUGUGUAGUAGUAGCUAAAUACUGUGCCAUUGCUUUUUUUUUUUUUUUUUUUUUUUCAUUUUAUGACAGGAGGCAAACAGAUUUAAGGUUCAGUACUGCCUUCUAUGUUGGAGUGUCUACCAACGCUCUAAACACUCUCUGUCUCUAAUGAAAAUAAUUGAUUUAACUAGGUACUGAACAAAUCUGUGGACAUGUUUCUUGGCAGACACUUGAGACUUUGACCAAGGUGGAUCAGGUGUGUGAGAGACUCCAGAAAUCUGCAUCUCUGCUUGAGGGCAGGCUGGCUGAGCUUGAAAACUGGAGCAAUGAAGUCCAAGAGGUCUGCCACCACCUAAAAGAAAAGCAGCAGAGGGGCCACCGGGGGCCACAUCCCAGUGCUAAAGUGAGCACAAUUAACUAAGUUACUGAGUUAAUUUGGUUGAUUAAAACAGCGCUUUUACAUUGUUGUCUCUUCCGAUUCCCGUUGCAGGCACUGAUCUCCAGAGGUCUACAGUUGGAAGGACAGGUGGUAACAGAAGCGGAGGACCUGCAGGUGCUUGUGACAUCAAUGCAAAAUAACUCCUCCCUUCCUUACCUUAGCACAUCGGCAAUACAAGACCAACUGAAAAGGACUGUCUCACACUGUCAGGUGAAUUUCAUUGCAGGCCAGUAUCGGUUAAGGAAUGCUUAAAAUCAUGAUGUUGUAACUUCUCACACCCUUCUGUAUG
ensembl:lncRNA